CCAGCAGCCGCGGGAACACCGGCGGCCCGAGUGGUGAUCGUGAUUAUUGGGUCUAAAGGGUCCGUAGCCGGUUUGGUCAGUCCUCCGGGAAAUCUGAUAGCUCAACGUAUUAGGCUUUCGGGGGAUACUGCCAGACUUGGAACCGGGAGAGGUAAGAGGUACUACAGGGGUAGGAGUGAAAUCUUGUAAUCCCUGUGGGACCACCUGUGGCGAAGGCGUCUUACCAGAACGGGUUCGACGGUGAGGGACGAAAGCUGGGGGCACGAACCGGAUUAGAUACCCGGGUAGUCCCAGCCGUAAACGAUGCUCGCUAGGUGUCAGGCAUGGCGCGACCGUGUCUGGUGCCGCAGGGAAGCCGUGAAGCGAGCCACCUGGGAAGUACGGCCGCAAGGCUGAAACUUAAAGGAAUUGGCGGGGAGCACAACAACGGGUGGAGCCCUGCGGUUUAAUUGGACUCAACGCCGGACAACUCACCGGGGGCGACAGCAAUAUGUAGGCCAAGCUGAAGACUUUGCCUGAAUCGCUGAGAAGAGGUGCAUGG
rnacentral:rRNA from 1 species